rnacentral:lncRNA from 1 species
UUCUCUCGUCUUGUGUAGUACGCUCCCUGCUUUAUCGAACAGACAGAAUAAAUAGUGUAACAGUUAGCACCAGUGUAAUAUAAAGCUUUGACAUCGACAGAAAUGCCGCCUCAGCAUUUCUCUUGUAAUAGUUGGUCUUUUCCAUCCACUUGGCUUUUAUCAGUGUGCAGUGAUAGUGAUUAUGAUUUGCUGUAAAACCUUCCGAACCGAGGAGUGUCUUCUGCAACAUCCAUUUCAUUUGUUUUUUUUUUGGUGUAUGCGACUUCCAUUCAAUUUCCCUCUGUUCACAAAUAUAAGAUGUUCUGGAUAUUUCAAUAUGGACUAUAUACAUACUGAAAUGGGUGAAAUAAACACACUAAAGCAUGUCUAUAAUGGUUGAUGGUAUAAUAGCAAUAUCGAGGGACAUCUACAUGGAACAUUAUGAGCGGGUGAUGUCCUUCUCUCAUGACUCAUGAUCCAUGAAUGCACAGAGAGGUUUCAGAGUGGAAGUUGCGGUCCUACUCCUACCUUGCUUCACAAUCGGAGAAACAUACUUUGCUAUCUUCCGAACGAAGGUCCGUUUUUAAUUCUGACAGCUCUAUUUCCCGACUCUUAUAUUUCUGCGCCUGGUGAUACAAAGGAACGGAUGAUGGCCAUUUAAGGGAGAGUGAGACUGGCAAGGAUGUCACCCAAACUGAGAAAGUUGACACUCCCUCCGAUUUAUAAUAAGUGUCGUGGUUUUAGUUCAAAUUUGAAGCCAUGGUCAUAUUUGAACAAGAGUAUGCGGUAUCGGGCCUUGUCGUUGUUUGCGGCGUCAUUGCCAUGGUGCCGUCGGCGGAGCUUCGACAAGGCUGAAAGGGCCAUGGCCCGCCCUAGGUUGGAGCAAUUCUUUUUACAUGAAGUCCAACCCACAAUAAUGCAUGGAAAAGGCUAUCGCUCAACCGACGGAUCUAGCGCGGGCGUCCGCCGCCUCCUUUGAUCAACACGUGGCCUACCUUCGACGAGCUCGCAGCGAACGAUGGUGGUGUUUUUGUUUUGCAACAUACUCUGUUGUAAGAAAUAUUUCUGCAACAUCAGUCAUGUUACAUAAGUUUCUUUCAUAACACCAUAUAGAAGUGAAGACAAAGAAAAAAAAUUCUGCAACAUCAUCUCAGUUGCAAAGCUUUUCUGCAACAAUACCUUUGUUGCAAAAAAAAGUGAAGAUGGAAAAAAAAUUGCAACACGACCUAUGUUGCAAAAAAUAAAUCCCGCAACACGAUCGAUGCUGGAAAAAAAAUCAGCAACACAAUUUUUGUUACAAGAGUUUCCGUAACAAGACCAUUGUUGCAAAGAAGAGAAAGACAUCCAGCCACUCGAUUUUGUCUUAACUACCGACUCGCGAGGCGGCGGAUCUUUUAAAAAGAUCCGCCGACCGACACGUAAAAGCCCCUAUAAUGCAUUGAUUUUUCUAAUUUGAUAGCACUUUUUGUACUAUCCGGCCCAUCCAACGUUUAGCUCUGCCACUGCAUGGUGCUGCCAAGGCCUAUGUUGAAGAUGGAUGAUACCCUGUUUAUCUUCUCUGACUCCAUUGUUGUGAGUAGUAGCAGCGGGUAGGGUCACUCACAUAGCCUAUAUAUAAUAGGAAAAAUAUAAUUAAAAUAUAAUAAGUUGAGAACUAUACAAACAAAUAAAUCCAUGAACCAGAUCCACGGUUGGAUAAUCUCGUGGCCAUUAUGAUGGAUCCACUACUGGUUGAGAGGUAGUGCAUCAGAUCUUACCAAUACGUGACAACCCACAUUGACGAUGAUUCUAUUACAUGUAACACGCCAUUUGUGAGGUCCACAAAGUUGAUGUUCUGCGAUGAUGCCUCCUCAAAGCUUUGGGCUGAUGGAUUUGCAUCAUUCCCCUCAAGCGUCGGUGGCUUUUGAGUGGCGUUCGAUGACAAGCACAUGGACUUUGAAGGGUUUCAAUAUAACUUUUUGUAGGGGCGAUUUUUCGUCUUACGCCACAAUAAUAGUCUAUUUUAAAACUUUGCAAUAACAAAUUUUAUUUUUUCUUACACAAGGCAUAGCCUAGUGGUGGAAGGGGGCUGAUGCCUUCCCACCCACCCAAAUUCAAGGUAUGAUACUUGUAAUCUGGGUUGUUGCAUCAAUUAUACUGUAGGGGCCUCCCUUACGAUCUUUCUAUCAAUAAAUAAAUAAAUAACAAAGUCAAAUUUUUAGUGAUAUAUGGCGCAUUUGGUGAAUUGGAGAAGGAUGCAGGAACAUGCAUGGUUGUCCGGACUCAGUUGCGGAUCUUGUUCUUGCGUCUUGUAAAUACAUGCCAAGAUGUGACGACCCCCUUGAAGCUGAACUCAUGACGGUGAAGGAAGGUGUGCUCUAUGCACGCAAGUAUGUUGUAGGUCCGUUUAUCCUCCACACAGACUGUUCCAAUGUGAUAAAAUUGUUGAAGGAUACAAAGCCAGAUAGGUCUUGGCUACGUCAUCUCGUACAAGUGUUGAAAUACUCGGUCUUUGAAGAGCGGAAGAUGAUUCUCAUGAAGGUUGAUAGAAGUCAAAAUAAGGUUGCAGAUUUCCUGGCUAAAUUUUCGCGCUCGGAGCAUAUAACCGUGGUUACACGAUGCCCCGAGAAUCUCCUAAGCCUUUUGGCUAUGGACUGUAAACCUAUUCGUUUAUCAACAAAACUGCCAGUGUUUGAUAGAAAAUGAUUGACUCCUGAUGAUCCUUGCUGACAAUUCCUCUAACUCUAGAAGCAUGAUUAUUCUUUUGAUUUAGAAAUUCCGACUGUUAAGGAGCGAUAUUACCCCUUGGCCAAAAAAGGAGUGAUAUUACCCGCAAUAAAGAUGCUACACGACGAAUUGGCAGUUCCUCAAUAACGCUUAGAAAAUACUCAUAUGAGGAGAUAAUUAGGAGGAAGAUGUCGAUGUUUGAUAUUGUUGCAAUACCUAUGCAUCCUAUUGUCACCCGAGUACAUAGUGGCCAUCAUCGUCGUGUGACAAGACCUAUUUAUCUUUUGAUGAUCCUUUUCGUCGUCCGACAGAACAACGACAACAUGUAUGAUCUUGAGAAGGCAUGACGGGAAUGUCUUCUUCGUCACUUUCAGGUUCUUAUUCCAUUGCAACGAUGCACUUGAGGCAGAGAUCCAUGAUUUAAUCCAAGGCAGCGUUUGUAAUCCACCAUACAGAUCUUUUGGUUAUUAUUCAACCAGACACGUCGUGAGCUCUUUCGGUCCUCACUUCAGAUUCUCUCGACCGUUCUGCUUACGGUCAUUUGACUUUGAAGAUUAAAGCCCUUUUGGUUAAUAGGGGUUUGAUAAGAUAUAGUCUCCACUCGCAAAAAAAAGAAAAGGAAGACGAGAUAUAGUUCCAUGUAUCGAGGAACUCUUGCCUCUUGAUUGUAACUCUAAAAUUAUGGAACAAAAUGUCUUUCUCUUGGCAAAAAAAGGAAAAAGAAAGUCAAUGCACAUAUUUUUAUUUUAGGUAAAAAACAACACGAAUAGAAGAGACCAACGAGGCACCGAAUGAACCAAACCAACCACCUCUUUUCCACGGCGGCCCCACCCCUCUCCCCCUCCAGCCAGUCUCCGUCCUUCUAGAAGGCCGCCGGAGUAGACGCACUCCGGCCACUCCCCCUUUCAGAUCCCGCCGCCGCGCUCCACCGAAUGAUCAAGAAGUGAUCCUAAAGCUACUUACGUUCAAGCAUAACACGAGACCGUGUUCUCUUCCCGGACUCCGCCGAAAAGAGACCAUCACGGCUACACACACGGUUGAUUCAUUUUAAUUAAGUUAAGUGUCAAGUUUUCUACAACCGGAUAUUAACAAAUUCCCAUCUGCCCAUAACCGCGGGCACGGCUUUUGAAAGUUCAAAACCCUGUAGGGGUGUCCCAACUUAGCCCAUCACAAGCUCUGACGGUCAACAAAGAAUAUUCCUUCUCCCAGGAAGACCCAAUCAGACUCGGAAUCCCGGUUACAAGACAUUCCGACAAUGGUAAAACAAGACCAGCAAGACCGCCCGAUGCGCCGACAUCCUGAUAGGAGCUGCACAUAUCUCGUUCUCAUGGCAACACCGGAUGAACACUACGUACAGCUAAAACCAGCCCUCAAGUUUCCCCGAGGUGGCGCCGCAAGUGGCUUUGGUUCGNNNNNNNNNNNNNNNNNNNNNNNNNNNNNNNNNNNNNNNNNNNNNNNNNNNNNNNNNNNNNNNNNNNNNNNNNNNNNNNNNNNNNNNNNNNNNNNNNNNNNNNNNNNNNNNNNNNNNNNNNNNNNNNNNNNNNNNNNNNNNNNNNNNNNNNNNNNNNNNNNNNNNNNNNNNNNNNNNNNNNNNNNNNNNNNNNNNNNNNNNNNNNNNNNNNNNNNNNNNNNNNNNNNNNNNNNNNNNNNNNNNNNNNNNNNNNNNNNNNNNNNNNNNNNNNNNNNNNNNNNNNNNNNNNNNNNNNNNNNNNNGGGAAGAUGAUAGGUUGUUAGGAAAAUGUAAAACCAAGGUUGGGCCUUGCUGGAGGAGUUUUAUUCAAAGCGAAUUGUCAAGGGGUUACCAUAACACCCAACCGUGUAAGGAACGCAAAAUCAAGGAACAUACACACCGGUAUGACAGAAACUAGGGCGGCAAGAGUGAAACAAAACACCAGGCAUAAGGCCGAGCCUUCCAUCCUUUACCAAGUAUAUAGAUGCAUUAAAGUAAACAAUAUAUGUAAUAAUGAUAUCCCAACAAUAUCCAUGUUCCAACAUGAAACAAACUUCAUCUUCACCUGCAACUAGCAACGCUAUAAGAGGGGCUGAGCAAAGCGGUAACAUAGCCAAACAAUGGUUUGCUAGGAAAGGUGGGUUAGAGGCUUGACAUGGCAAUAUGGGAGGUGUUGGAAAUAUGCCCUAGAGGCAAUAAUAAAAGAAUUAUUAUUAUAUUUCCUUGUUCAUGAUAAUUGUCUAUUAUUCAUGCUAUAAUUUUAUUAUCCGGAAAUCGUAAUACAUGUGUGAAUACAUAGACCACAAUGUGUCCCUAGUGAGCCUCUAGUUGACUAGCUCGUUGAUCAACAGAUAGUCAUGGUUUCCUGGCUAUGGACAUGGGGAUGUCAUUGAUAACGGGAUCACAUCAUUAGGAGAAUGAUGUGAUGGACAAGACCCAAUCCUAAACAUAGCACAAGAUCGUAUAGUUCGUUUGCUAGAGUUUUUCCAAUGUCAAGUAUCUUUUCCUUAGACCAUGAGAUCGUGUAACUCCCGGAUACCGUAGGAGUGCUUUGGGUGUACCAAACGUCACAACGUAACUGGGUGACUAUAAAGGUAUACUGCGGGUAUCUCUGAAAGUGUCUGUUGGGUUGACACGGAUCAAGACUGGGAUUUGUCACUCCGUAUGACAGAGAGAUAUCUCUGGGCCCACUCGAUAAUGCAUCAUCACAAUGAGCUCAAAGUGACCAAGUGUCUGGUCACGGGAUCAUGCAUUACGGUACGAGUAAAGUGACUUGCCGGUAACAAGAUUGAAUGAGGUAUUGGGAUACCGACGAUCGAAUCUCGGGUAAGUAACGUACCGAUUGACAAAGGGAAUUGUAUACGGGGUUGCUUGAAUCCUCGACAUCGUGGUUUAUCCGAUGAGAUCAUCGAGGAGCAUGUGGGAGCCAACAUGGGUAUCCAGAUCCCGCUGUUGGUUAUUGACCGGAGAGCCAUCUCGGUCAUGUCUACAUGUCUCCCGAACCCGUAGGGUCUACACACUUAAGGUUCGGUGACGCUAGGGUUGUAGAGAUAUGAAUAUGCAGUAACCCGAAAGUUGUUUGGAGUCCCGGAUGAGAUCCUGGACGUCACGAGGAGUUCCGGAAUGGUCCGGAGGUGAAGAAUUAUAUAUAGGAAGUGCAGUUUCGGCCAUCGGGAGAGUUUCGGGGGUCACCGAUAUUGUACCGGGACCACCGGAAGGGUCCCGGGGGUCCACCGGGUGGGGCCACCCAUCCCGGAGGGCCCCAUGGGCCAAAGUGGGGAGGGGAACCAGCCCAUAGUGGGCUGGUGCACCCCCCUUGGCCCACCCCAUGCGCCUAGGGUUGGGAACCCUAGGGUGGGGGGGCGCCCCACUUGGCUUGGGGGGCACUCCACCCCUUGGCCGCCGCCCCCCCUAGGAGAUCCCAUCUCCUAGGGCCGGCGCACCCUCUAGGGGGCCUAUAUAAAGGGGGGGAGGGAGGGGGCAGCCGCACCCUUGAGUCUUGGCGCCUUCCUCUCCCCUGCAACACCUCUCCCUCUCGUAGUAGAACGGCGAAGCCCUGCUCCGGUGACCCCUGCAUCCACCACCAUGCCAUCGUGCUGCUGGAUCUUCAUCAACCUCUCCUUCCCCCUUGCUGGAUCAAGAAGGAGGAGACGCCACGCUGACCGUACGUGUGUUGAACGCGGAGGUGCCGUCCGUUCGGCGCUAGGAUCUCCGGUGAUUUGGAUCACGUCGAGUACGACUUCCUCAUCCCCGUUCUUUGAACGCUUCCGCGCGUGAUCUACAAAGGUAUGUAGAUGCAAUCCGAUCACUCGUUGCUAGAUGAACUCAUAGAUGGAUCUUGGUGAAACCGUAGAAUUUUUUUUGUUUUCUGCAACGUUCCCCAACAGUGGUAUCAGAGCUAGGUCUAUGCGUAGUUCUCUUUGCACGAGUAGAACACAAUUUAUUGUGGGCGUAGAUGUUGUCAACUUUCUUGCCGCUACUAGUCUUAUUUUGCUUCAGCGGUAUUGUGGGAUGAAGCGGCCCGGACCGACCUUACACGUACGCUUACGUGAGACUGGUUCCACCGACUGACAUGCACUAGUUGCAUAAGGUGGCUAGCAGGUGUCUGUCUCUCCCACUUUAGUUAGAGCGGAUUCGAUGAAAAGGGUCCUUAUGAAGGGUAAAUAGAAGUUGACAAAUCACGUUGUGGCUUUCACGUAGGUAAGAAAACGUUCUUGCUAGAACCCUUUUGCAGCCACGUAAAACUUGCAACAACAAUUAGAGGACGUCUAACUUGUUUUUGCAGCAAGUGCUUUGUGAUGUGAUAUGGCCAAAGUUGUGAUGAAUGAUGAAUGAUAUAUAUGUGAUGUAUGAGAUCAUGUUCUUGUAAUAGGAAUCACGACUUGCAUGUCGAUGAGUAUGACAACCGGCAGGAGCCAUAGGAGUUGUCUUUAUUUUUUGUAUGACCUGCGUGUCAUUGAGAAACGCCAUGUAAAUUACUUUACUUUAUUGCUAAACGUGUUAGCCAUAGUAGUAGAAGUAAUAGUUGGCGAGCAACUUCAUGGAGACACGAUGAUGGAGAUCAUGAUGAUGGAGAUCAUGGUGUCAUGCCGGUGACAAGAUGAUCAUGGAGCCCCAAGAUGGAGAUCAAAGGAGCUAUGUGAUAUUGGCCAUAUCAUGUCACUAUUAUUAUUUGAUUGCAUGUGAUGUUUAUCAUGUUUUUGCAUCUUGUUUACUUAGAACGAUGGUAGUAAAUAAGAUGAUCCCUCAUAAUAAUUUCAAGAAAGUGUUUCCCCUAACUGUGCACCAUUGCGACAGUUCGUUGUUUCGAAGCACCACGUGAUGAUCGGGUGUGAUAGAUUUCAACAUUCACAUACAACGGGUGUAAGACAGAUUUACACAUGCAAACACUUAGGUUGACUUGACGGGCCUAGCAUGUACAGACAUGGCCUCGGAACACAGAAGACCGAAAGGUCGAGCAUGAGUCGUAUAGAAGAUACGAUCAACAUGAAGAUGUUCACCGAUGUUGACUAGUCCGUCUCACGUGAUGAUCGGACACGGCCUAGUUAACUCGGAUCAUGUUAUACUUAGAUGACGGGAGGGAUGUCUAUCUGAGUGGGAGUUCAUUAUAUAAUUUGAUUAGAUAAACUUAAUUAUCAUGAACUUAGUCUAAAAUCUUUACAAUAUGUCUUGUAGAUCAAAUGGCCCACGUUGUCCUCAACUUCAACGCGUUCCUAGAGAAAAUCAAGCUGAAAGACGAUGGCAGCAAUUAUACGGACUGGGUCCGGAACCUGAGGAUCAUCCUCAUAGCUGCCAAGAAAGAUUAUGUCCUAGAAGCACCGCUAGGUGAUGCACCCAUCCCACAGAACCAAGACGUUAUGAACGCUUGGCAGACACGUGCUGAUGACUACUCCCUCAUUCAGUGCGGCAUGCUUUACAGCUUAGAACCGGGGCUCCAAAAGCGUUUUGAGAGACACAGAGCAUAUGAGAUGUUCGAAGAGCCGAAAAUGGUUUUUCAAGCUCAUGCCCGGGUCGAGAGAUAUGAAGUCUCCAACAAGUUCUUCAGCUGUAAGAUGGAGGAAAAUAGUUCUAUCAGUGAGCACAUACUCACUAUGUCUGGAUUACAUAACCGCUUAACUCAGCUAGGAGUUAAUCUCCCGGAUGAUGCGGUCAUUGACAGAAUCCUUCAGUCGCUUCCACCGAGCUACAAGAGCUUUGUGAUGAACUUCAAUAUGCAGGGGAUGGAAAAGACCAUACCUGAGGUAUUUUCAAUGCUGAAAUCAGCAGAGGUAGAAGUCAAAAAGGAACAUCAAGUGUUGAUGGUCAAUAAAACCAUCAAGUUCAAGAAAGGCAAGGGUAAAAAGAACUUCAAGAAGGACGGCAAGGGAGUUGCGGCGCCCGGUAAGCAAGCUGCCGGGAAGAAGCCAAAGAAUGGACCCAAGCCCGAGACUGAGUGCUUUUAUUGCAAGGGAAGUGGUCACUGGAAGCGGAACUGCCCCAAAUACUUAGCGGACAAGAAGGCCGGCAACACAAAAGGUAUAUGUGAUAUACAUGUAAUUGAUGUGUACCUUACCAGUAUUCGUAGUAGCUCCUGGGUAUUUGAUACCGGUGCGGUUGCUCACAUUUGUAACUCAAAGCAGGAGCUGCGGAAUAAACGGAGACUGGCGAAGAACGAGGUGACGAUGCGCGUCGGGAAUGGUUCCAAGGUCGAUGUGAUUGCCGUCGGCACGCUACCUCUACAUUUACCCACGGGAUUAGUUUUAAACCUCAAUAAUUGUUAUUUAGUACCAGCUUUGAGCAUGAACAUUGUAUCAGGAUCUCGUUUAAUUCGAGAUGGCUACUCAUUUAAAUCCGAGAAUAAUGGUUGUUCUAUUUAUAUGAGAGAUAUGUUUUAUGGUCACGCUCCUAUGGUGAAUGGUUUAUUCUUAAUGAAUCUCGAGCGUAAUGCUACACAUAUUCAUAGUGUGAAUACCAAAAGAUGUAAGGUUGAUAAUGAUAGUCCCAUAUACUUGUGGCACUGCCGCCUUGGUCACAUAGGUGUCAAACGCAUGAAGAAGCUUCAUGCAUAUGGACUUUUAGAGUCUCUUGAUUACGAAUCAUUUGACACGUGCGAACCAUGCCUCAUGGGUACGAUGACCAAGACUCCGUUCUCAGGAACAAUGGAGCAAGCAACCAACCUAUUGGAAAUCAUACAUACUGAUGUGUGCGGUCCAAUGAGUGUUGAGGCUCGUGGUGGCUAUUGUUAUGUUCUCACCCUCACUGAUGACUUGAGUAGAUAUGGGUAUGUCUACUUAAUGAAACACAAGUCUGAAACCUUUGAAAAGUUCAAGGAAUUUCAGAGUGAGGUUGAAAAUCAACGUGACAGAAAAAUCAAGUUUUUACGAUCAGAUCAUGGAGGAGAAUACUUGAGUCACGAAUUUGGCACACACUUAAGAAAAUGUGGAAUAGUUUCACAACUCACGCCGCCUGGAACACCUCAGCGUAAUGGUGUGUCCGAACGUCGUAAUCGCACUCUAUUAGAUAUUGUGCGAUCUAUGAUGUCUCUUACCGAUUUACCGCUGUCAUUUUGGGGCUAUGCUUUAGAGACUGCCGCAUUCGCUUUAAAUAGGGCUCCGUCGAAAUCCGUUGAGACGACAGCGUAUGAAUUAUGGUUUGGGAAGAAGCCUAAGCUGUCGUUUCUAAAAGUUUGGGGAUGCGAUGCUUAUGUCAAGAAACUUCAACCUGAAAAGCUCGAACCCAAGUCGGAAAAAUGCGUCUUCAUAGGAUACCCUAAAGAAACUAUUGGGUAUACCUUCUACCUCAGAUCCGAAGGCAAGAUCUUUGUUGCCAAGAAUGGAUCCUUUCUAGAGAAAGAGUUUCUCUCGAAAGAAGUAAGUGGGAGGAAAGUAGAGCUUGAUGAAGUACUGCCUCUUGAAGCAGAGAGUAGCGCAGCUCAGGAAAAUGUUCCUGUGGUGCCUGCACCAAUUAGAGAGGAAGUUAAUGAUGAUGAUCAAGAUAUUUCUGAUCAAGCUCCUACUGAACUUCGAAGGUCCACAAGGACACGUUCCGCACCAGAGUGGUACGGCAACCCUGUCUUGGAAAUCAUGUUGUUAGACAAUGGUGAACCUUCGAACUAUGAAGAAGCGAUGGCGGGCCCGGAUUCCGACAAAUGGCUGGAAGCCAUGAAAUCCGAGAUAGGAUCCAUGUAUGAAAACGAAGUAUGGACUUUGACUGACUUGCCCGAUGAUCGGCGAGCCAUAGAAAAUAAAUGGAUCUUUAAGAAGAAGACAGACGCGGAUGGUAAUGUGACCAUCUAUAAAGCUAGGCUUGUCGCUAAGGGUUAUCGACAAGUUCAAGGGGUUGACUACGAUGAGACAUUCUCUCCCGUGGCAAAGCUGAAGUCCGUCCGAAUCAUGUUAGCAAUUGCCGCAUACUAUGAUUAUGAGAUAUGUCAAAUGGACGUCAAAACGGCAUUCCUUAACGGUUAUCUUAAAGAAGAACUAUAUAUGAUGCAGCCGGAAGGUUUUGUCGAUCCUAAGAAUGCUGACAAGGUGUGCAAGCUCCAAUGCUCGAUUUAUGGGCUGGUGCAAGCAUCUCAGAGUUGGAACAUUCGCUUUGAUGAGAUGAUCAAAGCGUUUGGGUUUAUGUAGACUUAUGGAGAAGCCUGCGUUUACAAGAAAGUGAGUGGGAGCUGUGUAGCAUUUCUCAUAUUAUAUGUAGAUGACAUACUUUUGAUGGGAAAUGAUAUAGAACUUUUGGACAGCAUUAAGGCCUACUUGAAUAAGAGUUUUUCAAUGAAGGACCUUGGAGAAGCUGCUUAUAUAUUAGGCAUCAAGAUCUAUAGAGAUAGAUCAAGACGCCUCAUAGGUCUUUCACAAAGCACAUACCUUGAUAAGAUAUUUAAGAAGUUCAAUAUGGAUCAGUCUAAGAAGGGGUUCUUGCCUGUGUUGCAAGGUGUGAAAUUGAGCUCAGCUCAAUGUCCGACCACAGCAGAAGAUAUAGAAGAGAUGAGUGUCAUCCCCUAUGCCUCAGCCAUAGGUUCUAUUAUGUAUGCCAUGUUGUGUACCAGACCUGAUGUAAACCUUGCCGUAAGUUUGGUAGGUAGGUACCAAAGUAAUCCCGGCAAGGAACGCUGGACAGCGGUCAAGAAUAUCCUGAAGUACCUAAAAAGGACUAAGGAAAUGUUUCUCGUUUAUGGAGGUGACGAAGAGCUUGUCGUAAAGGGUUACGUCGACGCUAGCUUCGACACAGAUCUGGAUGACUCUAAGUCACAAAUCGGAUACGUGUAUAUUUUGAAUGGUGGGGUAGUAAGCUGGUGCAGUUGCAAGCAAAGCGUUGUGGCGGGAUCUACAUGUGAAGCGGAGUACAUGGCAGCCUCGGAGGCAGCACAUGAAGCAGUCUGGGUGAAGGAGUUCAUUACCGACCUAGGAGUCAUACCCAAUGCGUCGGGCCCGAUGACUCUCUUCUGUGACAACACUGGAGCUAUUGCCCUUGCCAAGGAGCCCGGGUUUCACAGGAAGACCAGGCAUAUCAAGCGUCGCUUCAACUCCAUUCGUGAAAUUGUUCAAAAUGGAGACAUAGAGAUUUGUAAAGUACAUACGGACCUGAAUGUAGCAGAUCCGUUGACUAAACCUCUCCCUAGAGCAAAACAUGAUCAACACCAGAAUUCCAUGGGUGUUCGAUUCAUCACAAUGUAACUAGAUUAUUGACUCUAGUGCAAGUGAGAGACUCCUGGAAAUAUGCCCUAGAGGCAAUAAUAAAAGGAUUAUUAUUAUAUUUCCUUGUUCAUGAUAAUUGUCUAUUAUUCAUGCUAUAAUUUUAUUAUCCGGAAAUCGUAAUACAUGUGUGAAUACAUAGACCACAAUGUGUCCCUAGUGAGCCUCUAGUUGACUAGCUCGUUGAUCAACAGAUAGUCAUGGUUUCCUGGCUAUGGACAUGGGGAUGUCAUUGAUAACGGGAUCACAUCAUUAGGAGAAUGAUGUGAUGGACAAGACCCAAUCCUGAACAUAGCACAAGAUCGUAUAGUUCGUUUGCUAGAGUUUUUCCAAUGUCAAGUAUCUUUUUCUUAGACCAUGAGAUCGUGUAACUCCCAAAUACCGUAGGAGUGCUUUGGGUGUACCAAACGUCACAACGUAACUGGGUGACUAUAAAGGUAUACUGCGGGUAUCUCCGAAAGUGUCUGUUGGGUUGACACGGAUCAAGACUAGGAUUUGUCACUCCGUAUGACGAAGAGGUAUCUCUGGGCCCACUCGGUAAUGCAUCAUCACAAUGAGCUCAAAGUGACCAAGUGUCUGGUCACAGGAUCAUGCAUUAUGGUACGAGUAAAGUGACUUGCCGGUAACGAGAUUGAACGAGGUAUUGGGAUACCGACGAUCGAAUCUCGGGCAAGUAACGUACCGAUUGACAAAGGAAAUUGUAUACGGGGUUACUUGAAUCCUCGACAUUGUGGUUCAUCCGAUGAGAUCAUCGAGGAGCAUGUGGGAACCAACAUGGGUAUCCAGAUCCCGCUGUUGGUUAUUGACCGGAGAGCCAUCUAGGUCAUGUCUACAUGUCUCCCGAACCCGUAGGGUCUACACACUUAAGGUUCGGUGACACUAGGGUUGUAGAGAUAUGAAUAUGCAGUAACCCGAGAGUUGUUCAGAGUCCCGGAUGAGAUCCUGGACGUCAUGAGGAGUUCCGGAAUGGUCCGGAGGUGAAGAAUUAUAUAUAGGAAGUGCAGUUUCGGCCAUCGGGAGAGUUUCGGGGGUCACCGGUAUUGUACCGGGACCACCGGAAGGGUCCCGGAGGUCCAUCGGGUGGGGCCACCCAUCCCGGAGGCCCCAUGGGCCAAAGUGGGGAGGGGAACCAGCCCAUAGUGGGCUGGUGCACCCCCCUUGGCCCACCCCAUGCGCCUAGGGUUGGGAACCCUAGGGUGGGGGGCGCCCCACCUGGCUUGGGGGGCACUCCACCCCUUGCCCACCGCCCCCCCUAGGAGAUCCCAUCUCCUAGGACCGGCGCACCCCCUAGGGGGCCUAUAUAAAGGGGGGGGGGGAGGGAGGGGGCAGCCGCACCCUUGAGUCUUGGCGCCUCCCUCUCCCCUGCAACACCUCUCCCUCUCGUAGUAGAACAGCGAAGCCCUGCUGCGGUGACCCCUGCAUCCACCACCACACCGUCAUGCUGCUGGAUCUUCAUCAACCUCUCCUUCCCCCUUGCUGGAUCAAGAAGGAGACGUCACGCUGACCGUACAUGUGUUGAACGCAAAGGUGCCGUCCGUUCGGCGCUAGGAUCUCCGGUGAUUUGGAUCACGUCGAGUACGACUUCCUCAUCCCCGUUCUUUGAACGCUUCCGCGCGUGAUCUACAAAGAUAUGUAGAUGCAAUCCGAUCACUCGUUGCUAGAUGAACUCAUAGAUGGAUCUUGGUGAAACCCUAGAAUUUUUUUUGUUUUCUGCAACGUUCCCCAAUAGGAGGCAUGAUAUAGCUAGUGGUAGGUAUCGCGGCAUAGCAAUUGACAAAGCACCACAUUCGUUUAUUUAGUUCACUCCCGAUUAUGUACUCAACAAUAUUAAAUGUUGUUAACAUGGCAAGAGGUGAGUCAUGAGUAAAACAUCUAUCUAAACAAGUUUAAAUGAGGCCGGAACAAGCAACGAUUUCGAUAAAUCCCCAUAUGCAUUUAGCAAUUUAAGCAAACAACACUUGUAACCAUUUUAAAUAUUUUUAUCAUGAUGUGGAUGACAUGUGCCAGUUUAUGCAAGUUUUAUGAAAAUGUUGAUAAGAGCAUUAUAUGAAGCAUUAGUCAGCGUGGCGGAAAUGAAAGGGGUGCCACGACAACGAAUCCGAAAAUGGUGCCACGGCAACAUAUCGGUUCCGGUAGCUCACAGGAAUACCGGUGCAAAAGGAAGUGGGUGUGAGUGUGUCAUGCAAGAUGAUGGGGUGCUCCCGGAUACAUGUUCCCACAUGACGGUGGCAAGGAAACGAGUGACGAUGUGCGACGAACAAAACGGGCACGGUGCAAACACGGGCAUCUCGUACAACACACAUGCAAUCGUUCCACAGCGUCGUUUCGGGGUUAUACCUUCGAGGCGUGACUUUUCGGAACGGAUCAAGUUCGUAGUGGAAGUAGACGUUCUCGCGACGGUAGUCGUUCACGUUCUUAGUCGCACAAGUUUUCGUAGAUGUUCAGGGUUAUGGCGAGAAACUUGACUUCCACGGAGUCUUCGAGGGUCGACGGUAGUGGUACUUGGCAAAAUGCACGUCGAGGGUAGUUGUUCUCGUAUCGACGUGGUACUUGGCGAUUUCGGAGACGACGGAUGACGAACUUGGCGGUCCUCGCAGAACUAGUACUUGGCGUUAGUGAUACACGUUUCAAAAGUUGUUCACGACGAUGAUAGUCGAAACUUGGUGAUCCGAAGGGGUACUUGGCGAAUAACGGCCGUUGUGGUACUUGGUGAAAUCUUGGGAGAUGAACUUGAUGCAUCAAACGUCUUCGGUGCGACGGUACUUGUGAGGUUAGACGUACUUUCGAAGAGGAAACUUGUCACGUCCCAGAAUGAGCAAGGCAAAAGCCUCGUUCCGCGGUGCUCAAACUUGACGAAAACCACGAACGGGUCUUGGCGUAUCCUGGUCUUGGAGAGGUCUCCGGAAAAGAACUUGGCGUCCAAGGGGACAUGGAGCCGCGGUCUUGGCGUCGAGCAGGGGUCGAAGCCCAACGAGGGGCGAGGUGGACGCUGUUGUUCCUGCCAGGAGGCGAAGCAAGGCGAUGACGAUCUUGAGGCGGCGCUGUGAGGACGGCGACGAGGCGGACUAGUCCGGCGAAGCAGGAGGAUUGCGGAGGUGCACGGGACAGCGACGGUGAGGUAGGGGAUGGACUGCUGCUGCAGAGAACUUGGCGUAGGGACGAGGGCCUGCCGGACUCGACGAGGAGGUCGGGGUCGACGCUGACACGGCGAGAGGCGUCGGGCUUCGCAGGAGAAGGAGGUACCGGGCAGCGCGCGGCCACGGAGGAGAGGGAGGACGCGGCGGCCAGAGGAGUUGAUGGCGACGGGCGGUGCAGGAUGGCAGCAGGAGGACGGCGGCGGCAUCCAUGGCCUUGACGAGGGACCGAGCACGAGGCUCCUGCGGCGGAGGCGACGAACGGGCGGCGGCCGUUGCCAGAGGCGGGGAGGCCAGCGCGCUGGUGGAACGCGAGAUGGAAGGCGCCAGGAGGAAGGAGGGGAUCUGCCAGGCGCUGGUGUGAGGGCUCCUGCGGGAGGAGGACGAGGGGCCGAGCGGGACUCCUUCCUGGUGCGGUUGGGUGGCGCUGCAGAGGGAAAGAGAGGAGGAGAUGGGAUCGGGACGAAGGAGGGAGAUGGCGGCGGCGUGGGAGGACGAGAGGAAGAGGGUGAGGGGAUCGGGUCAGGGGAGAUGGUUAGGUUAGGAUUAGGUGGGCCUAAAGGGCCGGCCUAGCAUAGGUUGUAGCUGGGCUGGGCUCUCUCUCACUCUAAAGAACAAAAAAAACAGAGAUAUGGAAGAAAAAGAAAGAGAGGUUAGGGGAAAAAGUUGGACAUGUGGAUAAUUUCCCUGGACUCAUAAAAAUAUGAGGAAUUUAAAUAAAAUGGCGAAAGGAAUUUUAGAGAGAAUAAAUUUCACACAAAGGAACAUGUUUGAAUUUUUGAAGCCCAUUUGAAAAGACUCUAAACGGGCUGAGAUUUGAGAAGAUGAUCCCACACAUUAGAUGUGAUUUAUGGGCAAAUUUGGGACAUUUAUGGAUGAAGUAAAAUUGCAACUCAAUCUACUAAAAGGCCCCAAAGGAAGAAAUGAAGUUGAGUUGGAUGAAAGAAAUUUUAAGAACGGUGCAAAUGUGUUAUGGGUGAUUCCAAGACAAUGAAAUGGUUUUAUAUAGCUCCCUAAAUAUUGGGAGGAUAUGUUAUAAAGAGAAACACCAUGUGAAUUCCCUCAAUUUAAAUAGAUCGAAAGAUCUAUGCAAUUUUAUUUAGUUGAGUUGAAGUGCGAAGAUUAAUGACAUGAUGGCAUGAUGACAUGAUGCAAUGCACAUUAUGACAUGGCAAGAUGCGACGCGCAAGCAAAAACAAAACACACAACGAAUCUCGGAAACCCCGAAGGCAUCUGAAGCUCUGGUCUUGAGGCGUCACACGAUAUUACCCCUUGGUCAAAAAAGGAGUGAUAUUACCCGCAAUAAAGAUGCUACACGACGAAUUGGCAGUUCCUUAAUAACGCUUAGAAAAUACUCAUAUGAACAGAAAUGGCCGGUUUUCAGUUCGCUUAGCUUAUCAUAAACUAUGGGAGGAUACUUAUAUCAAGGAGGAGGAGAGGAAUACAUAUCAGAGUGGAUCUAACCCGCAUCCAGUUUGGAAAAGAAUUUGGCAACUGAAACUACCAGCUAAAAUUAAGAUUUUCAGUUGGAGAUGCUUACACAAUACAAUCCUGUGUUACAGUGUGCUCGCAAAUCGUCAUAUCGGCAGUAGGUCGCAUUGUCCACACUGCACUGAAGGAGCAGAAGAUGCUCGUCAUGCGUUGUUCACUUGUAACAGAGCUCGGGAAAUCUGGACAGCGAUGGGACUUGAUAACCUGGUCUCAGGAGCUAGUACCAAUCGAACGGGUGCAGGUACACUUGAGUUUCUACUUUGUGAUGAUGAACAUCAGGGUACAUAUACGGAGGGAAUUCCUGUUCCCGAAAUUGUAGCGGCGUCUUGCUGGUAUAUAUGGUGGCAGCGCAGACAAUUUGUUCGCGGAGAAACAAUCCAGAAUCCUCAGCGGACGACAAUGGCGAUCCAAGCUGUAACUUUAAAUUUUGUUCGUGCUGCUGGGAAAAUAGGGAGCUCUAGUAGAAUGAACCGGUGGUUCUCGCCAACCAGCAGGUUUUGAAUGUGGAUGCGUCAUUUUAUGUGGGCGAAAAUUCAGGAGGAUGUGGGGCCAUAGUCCGAGAUAAUCGCGGGAAUUUCAUUGGAGCAACCACGGCAAAACUGACUCAUGUAGCUGAUGUGGUGUGCGCAGACGCUGCUGCACUCAGAGAAGGCCUCAAAUUCCUCCAAAGUAUGGGAUGUAAUAAUGUGAUAGUAAGGAGUGACAAUAUCAUUGUUAUACUCCCUCCGUUCCAAAAUAGAUGACCCAACUUUAUACUAAGGUCAGUACAAAGUUGGGUCAUCUAUUUUGGAACGGAGGGAGUAGAUGCCAUGAAGGAGAAUGAUGGCCAAGGCAUGGUGGCGGCACCUGUACUAGAGGAAUGUAGGACACUUUUGCAAGAUUUUGGGAGAGUUUUCAUAGAGCAUUGUAACCGUGAGUCAAAUAUUGUUGCUCAUGAGCUAGCUAGGUGGGGGAGCGCAAACAACCCGUCUGUGUGGGUUGAUGCACCACCGAGUUUUAUUGUAAACUUUCUUCUGGACGAUGUAGCGGUCAUUAAUAAAUAAAACUAGCCAUGAAGGCCUUCCCGUCAAAAAUAAUAAUAAUAGAAAAUACUCAUACGAGGAGAUAAUUAAGAGGAAGAUGCUGAUGUUUGAUAUUGUUGCAAUACCUGUGCAUCCUAUUGUCACUCGAGUACAUCGUGGCCACCAUCGUCGUGUGACAAGAUCUGUUUCUCUUUUGAUGUUCCUUUUCGUCGUCCGACAGAACAACGACAACAUGUAUGAUCUUGAAAAGGCAUGACGGGAAUGUUUUCUUCGUCACUUUCAGGUUCUUAUUCCAUUGCAACGAUGCACCUGGGGCGGAGAUUCAUAAUUUAAUCCAGCAUGUUUGCAAUCCAGCAUACAGAUCUUUUGGUUAUUAUUCGAUCAGACACGUCGUGAGCUCUUUUGGUCCUCACUUCAGAUUCUCUCGACCGUUCUGCUUACAGUCAUUUGGCUUUGGAGAUUAAAGCCCUGUUGGUUGGUAGGGGUUUGAUAAGAUAUAAUCUCUACUCGCGAAAAAAGAAAAGAAAGACAAGAUAUAUGCUCCCACCGUUCCUAAAUAUAAGUCUUUUUUUUGAUAACCCUAAAUAUAAGUCUUUUUAGACAUUCCAACGAACUACAUAUGGAGCAAAACGAGUAAAUCUAUACUCUAAAAUAUAUCUACAUACAUCCGUAUGUUGUAUUCCAUUUAAAAUGUCUAAAAAAACUUAUAUUUAGGAAUGGAAGGAGUAAUUCUCAUGUACCGAGGAAAUCUUUGCCUCUUGAUUGUAACUCUAAAAUUAUGGAAUAAAAUCCCUUUCUCCUCGCAAAAAAAGGAAAAAGAAAGUCAAUGCACAAAGUUUUAUUUUACAGUUUGACUAAUUCACAUCUAGAUGUUUUUUAAGGAUGUCACAUCUAAGUUCCUACAAAUAUAUAAUGCAGCAACAAAAAAAAAAUUAAGACAAAAAAAAAUCACGAACAGAAUAUACAUAAGCUUAGAUAUGACAUAAUUAUGUCACAUCUAGAUGUGUCCUAGACUUUAUUUUAGAUAAAAAAUAGCACGAAUAGAAGAGACCAACGAGGCACCGAAUGAACCAAACCAACCACCUCUUUUCCCACGGCGGCCCCACCCCUCUCCCCCUCCGGUCAGUCUCCGUCCUUCCAGAAGGCCGCCGGAGUAGACGCGCUCCGGCCACUCCCCCUCAGAUCCCGCCGCCGCGCCCCAGCCCCCAUUGCCGCGGGGUUGCACCGGUAAGCCGUGGCCCGCCCUGCAUAUUUACACCCCCGUGCUACGUACAUGGGAGGAUCGCGGAUUCGUUUCCACGGGAGCCCGUCGAGGCGACGACCGAGGUCGGUCAGCGGCACCGAAUGCGCGCCGCGCCGUCGCCCAGCGCAGCCCCUCGUGGUCGCCGUCGCCGUCGUUUACCGUGUACCACUUGGUGGUGAUUAGGGAAGGCCCGAGAAUCGCUGUGGAGCCGCGGGGAAUCCGCCGCGGCGACGCGCUGCUGGGAUUGGAUUCGUUUCCUGCCUUUUGGCUUCGUUCCUUGCUUUUUACUGGGUCACUCGGAGGGGGGUUGCGUCAGCCCUUGUAGUCGUUGAUUCACAGUUGCCGGCUGUUGCUUGUUUUGAAUUCUCAAUUGAUGCUCCCAGGUUUCGUGCGCUGGAUUUGUUGGGACUGGUACCUAAAGCCAAUAAUGUACAGUCCCCCCAACUUGGGACCAUAACUGAUUUUGCACUCUAUAUGGUCAUUAAGGAUGCUAAUGGAACAGUCCCAAGCAGAGAAACCCAGCAGAGGACAUCAAUCAUUCCAUGUUUCAGUGUACAGGAUUCCAUUAUGAACCAAUUUCUAGUUCGUGUAAAAAUGUAAACUGUUAAAAACAUUUGCUAAGAAAAUAUUUAAAAAUAGCAUGUGGUCUGAUAACAUGCCCAAUAGCAUGUUCUUCAUUGUCAACCAAAGAGGAGGUUACCACUUACCAGUAUCCAUACUUCAAAAUUUCAUGGAAUUUACCCUAAAUGGCCUUUUGUUUUUACGUCGUGUUACUAUGUUAUUAUAUCUAGCUAUUAAUUUGUUCCACCCUUUCUUUCAAAAUCAUGCUUAUUAUUUAUAGUUGACUGGUACUUCAUUAUCCUGCAGGACUUGCUUUUAUCAUAUGACCGGCAACAUGUUUCCUCAGUGAUAUCCAGGCAUGAUUUGGGUAUUGUUCAUAAUGCAGUUGGCUUCACAUGGCACCCGAGAUGACGAAGGGACACAGCUGGUGCCCCUUUGUGACCAGGAAGCAACGUCAGAUUCGCAGGAGAUAUUUUCGCAAUCUGACACCGCAGGAAGCUCCACCGAGUAUCUGGGCUCAUGUGAAAUCAAGCCAUUGAUUGUUGAGGAUGAAAACCACAAUAUCGAUGCGGAUGAAGAUACCCAUCUUGUCAUUCAAGACUUUCCACAAUGCCGGAUUUGCCUUGAUAAUGAAGGUCCACAGUCCACACUACACUAUGACCUGAAAUACCCUUUUCUUAUAUCUUUUAUAUACCUUGUUAUAUUUUAUAUUAAAUCACUGUUUACCAUGUCGCAUUUCUGCUGCAAGCAGGUGAUGACUUAAUUGCGCCAUGCAAUUGCAAGGGCACACAAAAGUAUGUCCAUAGGUCCUGUCUUGAUAACUGGAGAUCAACAAAGGUAUUGAUUCACGAGCAUUUUAUCAUUUACAUUGCACUUGUAGAGUGUAGAGUUGACGCUCAAGUGCUCAAUCAUCCUGAAAUCCACCCAAACCACCUGACAUGCUAACACUCAUUAUCGUUACAUUAUUCUCAUUCUGACCUAGUUUCUUUGUUACACAUCACCCAGGAAGGUUUUGCAUUUUCACAUUGCACUGAGUGUCGGGCAGCAUUCUUACUUCGUGCAAAUGUUCCUCCAGAUCGAUGGUGGUUAAGGCUCAAGUUUCAACUUCUGGUUGCUAGAGAUCACACAUUGAUCUUUUUCAUUGUACAACUGGUAAGAUGUUCACACCUUGCAUAGUCUAGUGCCAUGAACUAAUUUUCUUACACAGUUGAUUGUUUUGUUACCAAGUUGAUUUAUUUUCUUUUUGCCUGAUAGGUUGUUGUUUUAUUGGGUAUGCUGGUAUACAGAUUUUAUGGAGAUGAGCUGCAAGAAAUGUUUGGCUAUGAACAGCAUCCUUAUGCUUUUUAUGCAUUGGCAAGUAAGUUCAAUUUUCAUAGUGAUGUCUACUAUCCUUGCACAUGUUACAAAAUAUCUUUGUCUAUGAUUCAAGAAAUUUCUUGAAUUGCCAUUUACCUAACAUGUCGAAUGAGAACUAGAUAACUUAUGCCAUUUAUUAGUACUGGAUUUCUUCCUAUUCAGUGCUCUCAAUAUGGUUUGGCUACUUCUUUAAAAUAAGCCACUCAUUAUUUGCAUCUUCCAUUUUUAAUUUUGUGGCCAGUAUUAAGAUAUAUGGUGUUCAAAUGGUCUUAUGCUUGCCUGAUAUGUAUUUCUGUAUCUAUGAGGAUAUAGAUCAUCAUUGUGUAAUUUAUGGUCCCAGCAACACCUUUGGUCCUUUGAGUUCAAACAAAACAUACAUAGUACUCCCUCUGUAAACUUUUAUAAGACAUUUUAGGUCAGUAAACUAGUGACCUAAAACGUCUUAUACAAAUUUACAGAGGGAGUACAUUUCAUAUAGGAUGAGGCAUGGUUAUCUAAGCGUGGUUUGUACUUUGGGCAAGCAUGGAAAUACCUGUCAUAUGGAUUUCUUUUCAUAGUUCAGAUGAUCGUCUAAACUACUCAAAUUGUAGACAAUCAUGUCUGAUAGAGAUAAGUCUACACGCUCAAUGGGAGCUACAAUAACUCAUGCUUGUAAAUUGGUGGGCAUAUGUAAAUUGUAAAGACAAUACAGGCUAGAUGAGAAUGUAAUGACAUUUGUCUAUCUGCUGUCGGCAUUUAGCAUAGCAUUUGUGAUUGUACAAGUAUUAGCAUCAUCUGUGCCGUGUCUGAAGCACUUGCUCAGAUUUUUUUCCUAAAUGUUUAUAAUAUUUUCUCAAACUGCAGUACUGGCUGUUAUUUUGGUUGGUUUGCUAUAUGGAUUCUUCAUAGCUAUAAUAUGUGGACAGAGGAUCACCGAACGGCACUACCAUGUUCUUGCAAAGCAAGAGUUAACCAAGGUUUGUUACAGAAAGAAAAACAGAAACAUCAAGUUUGUUGAUUGAUCUCCAUCCCAAGAAGUGCAUUUUCUGAUUAAUAAACUGUUUCUGUAACUGAUUAAUGAAUUAUUAGUUGUGCCACCAAGUACUCUAGUGACCAACAGUCUGAUAUGUUGGGAAAAUCUGAAUGCCAGUUUCAACAUAGAGUGUCCCAAUUGGUUCUGUAUCUUGCAUGAUCCCAGUGGGCUAUACUAGAGCAUGAAGUCCCUGUGAGAUGAUUUUUUUGGGUGUUUCUUGUUAGUUACACGUGCCUUUGUUUUUUUUCCUUAUCCUGGCAAACAAUAGCUUCUCAGUAUUACAACUUUUAAAUUUGUAGCACCUUCUCUUUCUCACGAUAAACUUAUGCUAAAAGAUUUGCUCAUACUGUGAUGUUCUUCUUAUGGCAGGAGUAUAUCGUAGAGGAUCUUGAAGGAGCUGAUCCAGUGGCAGACCUUGAUCCUAGCCAUGUCACGGAGCUGAGGACGCUGGGACUCUAUUGAGCAUAGCCGCAUAUAGCAUCAGGUUGGCAGUUUAAGUUGCUGUUGAUUUACAGCAUUCUCUUAGUUGUUAUGGGUGCACUCUCUACUUGUCUAGAAAUCACUCUCUACAGCUUGUAGAAGUAUAUGUAACGGCUCGUACAAAAAACUGCAAGAAACAUCCCCUUCCACGGUUCAAAUUUCAUAAUGGCCAUUCCAUUAUCACGCCAAAAAUGCCCCCUUUUCUCUAUCAUUUCGUAAGCAGCUAGUACCGGGUUUCCAUAUCCCUUCCAGACCGCAAGGCUUCCGGAAAUCCUGUGCUCUGGUCGCUCUGUGCUGCGUCGUCGUGUAAUUUCAUUUGGGCUGAGCUGGGUGAUUCCUCCAAUCAAAUGGCAACGCCACUCUAUGCAUGGAUCCCAUCCAUCCAUCUCUCCUUUUUCUUUUGUCCCUAAGGUUCUGAUCCCUCUCUCUAGAUCUUUCUGGUAUCCCCUCGGUUUAUUCCUCGCGCUCACUUUUUCGAUUGGCGCCUGUCAUCGCCCCUAUUUUGCCCGGCCGCUGCUGCAAAGCUCCAUGGGCGAAGGAAAAUUCUGCUGCACCAUUGCUGUGCUGGAGGCCGGCCAGCACAGCCAUCACAGGCGAGACAUGUCACCGUCUCCCCGGCCCACCAUUUCUUCAAUUUAGAAGAAGGGUCAGUACAUGCUUUAAGUGAUCAUGUUCAGGUCGGUUCUAAAGUGAUCUAUUGCCGUCACGCGUGGGCAUUCUGUUGUUCUUGUUGGUCUUUCGUGCUUGACCAACGAGUGAUAUCUAAGGUUUUCACUGUUUUGUACUGCUACCAUGUGGUUUUGCCCAGCUGCAUCGGGCGUCCAAGAAAUGAGAUGCUCUAGCAAAGACCACUCCUACCCCCCCUUUUUUUUUUUUGGUUUGAGCGGUACUCCUAGCUGUACCAUGUGCUGUGUACUAGCCAGGCAUUAUUUUUGUGUCCGUAUUACAACUAAACUCGGCUGAUGACAAAGGGCCCAGUAGCUCGCGUGUGGGCGGCGUAUGGGGCUCCCGUAACGCCAUCUCGGCGGUACGCGGAAGGAAGCUGGGCCCAUUUUCUGGGCCUCUCCCCUUAGGAGUUUACACCUAAAAUGGGCCCAGUGGCUCGUGCGUGCGGCCUAUUGGGCUUUGAUAACGCCAGCCCGGCUCUCUGGUUCCGCAAGAAACUAGGGUUAAAGGGCACCACUAUAUAACCCGCCACAUGCCCUCCCCUUCCAGCACCACAAGCCGCCGCCGCGACGGGGCGAGGCCGCAAGAUGUGUUUCCUCGCUCGCCGCCGCCUCGUUUCUUCUUCCCCGAGUUUCCCCUCGCGUUUCGAUCAAAUAUUCGAUCUUUCUUUGUUUUGGGGGCCUGUGAUGUGAACAAUUUGUCCGUACCAUCUGACAUCUCUGAUGAUCCACAUUUGCUAAUGUAUCUCUGAGGUCCCCCUUCUGGUUCUUCCCCAUCUGGUUUUGGUUUCGAUUUGAAUUUUUUUACCUAUCGAUCUCUGUUUUUGCUGUCGCUCAGCCAUGGGAAAGGCAACAAAUUAGAGUCUCUGAUGCGCUAAACCCCAUAGCGACUUCGGUGCUGUACGUUGCCCAGAGCGACCCCGGCGAUAGUUAUCAUGCGUGCGCCGUCUUCUCGUACGGCGUGCGCAUCCCUGUCCCCCACAUCUCCCGACGUUCGUACGAAUGAAUGAUUCUUGUUAGAACUUCCGAGGCAAACAAAUUAGAGUCUCUGAUGCGCUUCUGUAGCGACUUCGGUGCUAUACUUUGCCGAGAGCGAUUUUGGAACGUGGUAUCAUGCGUUCGGCGGCUCACGUCCGGCUCGCGCAUCCCUUUGUUCCACACUUUUUAGCUUUGCUUUUUUAACCACAAAAACAGAAAAAUUGUUGGCUAUGGAUUCUUUGAUUUUUUUUGUUGUGCUUUCCCUGUUUACUUGCCCUUUUUGUGCUUGUGUUUGGAAUCAGUCCAAUAUGAAGACAUAGGGUUAACUCCAGGACCGCAUGGCAACAAUGAAAAUGAGUGGACCAACACAAAUGUUUGCAUUAUCUUCAAAAAGGAAAAGAUUAAGGGGACUUCAAUUCAAACGAAAGCAGUGUUAAGUUCAUUACAGACCCUUGAUACAGUUCAAAUACCACAACAUCAGCAGCCUGGAAAAUCUAUUGCAGGCAGCAGCACAUCAUCAAACUGAAAUGCAACCGAAUUAGAAUCUGUGCCAGAAUGGUUGAAUGUUCUGGUUUUCUUCAGUUUAAUGUGCGCUGGAGUGGGCAGAGUCCUUUCGUCCAUGAGGCAAUCUAGUAGUUCUAGUAGUAGUAGAAACAAUGCAAGCCAAAGCUUGCCAAACUAGUUUGACAAGCAAGUUUCAUUAGAGAGCAGGCAACUAUUGGUUAUACAUGGUAGCAGUUUACUAUGAGAAACCACCUCUUUCUAUAUCAUAUCAUGUACACUGUACAUGCUGAGGAUCAAAUGCCUGUAGCAAAAAGGAAACAGCUUGAACUGCCUUUUCCCCGAAUUAGAGGCAUCAGAGAAUAUGGAAGGUGAAAUAUCACAUUUUUCAUCACGAUAUGUACAAACAUUCUAAGGCUGGAGCUACUCCAGAGACUGCUGGAGCUUAGCCACCCACGAAACAACGCUAUCAAUCACGAGUUUGCUUCUUUCAUAGUUGCCUCACAAUCUACCAUUUUGGGGGCCUGUGAUGUCAACAAUUUGUCCGUACCAUCUGACAUCUCUGAUGAUCCACAUUUGCUAAUGUAUCUCUGAGGCCCCCCUCCUUGUUCUUUCUCGUCUGGUUUUGGUUUCGAUCUUGAAUUUUUACCUAUCGAUCUCUGUUUUUGUGCUGUCGCGCGCCCAUGGAAAGGCAACAAAUUAGAGUCUCUGAUGCGCUUAACUCUGUAGCAACUUCGGUGCUGUAUGUUGCCCAGAGCAACCCCGGGGAUAGUUAUCAAGCUUGCGCAGUCUUCCCGUACGGCAUGCGCUAAACUCUGUAGCGACUUCGGUGCUGUACGUUGCCAAGAGCGAGCUGGGAACGGGUUUUCAUGUCCUGUCUCGCGUAUGACGUACUCGAACUCUUUUUCCCACACUUUUAAUUCAGAUCGGUUCUCAUGUUUUAUGAUACCAGAUUUUUUAAGAUAUACAAGAACAACACUCUCUGACGAUUGUUAUCAGUAUGCGAUCUACUAACGAUCCUUGCUGCAAAGAACCUGGGAAGCAUUGACAAUCAGUGAAUGAACAAGAUGAUGAAGGAAACAUUUUUCAGAUAAAAAAUGCUUACACAUAAACGAAACCAGUGUGACUACAGACAGGCUCUUCAUAAAAGAGCGUUGUUACAGGGACGACAUUGUUUAGCCGAUUGUUGGAUGAUGCAACGGAUCCAACCAUGCAUGAGUAUGUCGUCCAAAAAUCAUGCAGAGUAUCGUCCGUGUAGUAGUUCCGAUCAUAAAAUCUGUGGUAGCCAGUAAAGCACAUGAGAAACUGAAGUUGCAUCUGGACUCCUGGGGGCCUGCAUGGACGACAAUUUUCGUUUGAGAGCAGCCACCAAUUGUCUUUUGGCCAAGCUAUAUCUAGUUAGUGGUGUAUCAUGGGAUGAUAACCAUAAAAACAUAAAGAUGGUCAGGCGUCCAGAAACCACCUGGUUCAUCCUUCCCACUGCUGCAUCAGCCAAAUGUUUAAAUUUUAUGGGACUUGAUAAUAUCUUAUCAUAAGCCUGAGCUGGUGGUAACCAGAAUAAGAGGCAGAGAAUAUUGAAGGUGAAAUAUUAUCUCUUUACCAACUUAAUAUGAUGUAUCACAGACAUUUUUCUUCCGAUAGUAUAUCCCAGACAUGCAGGCUCACUUUUGGCUGGAGCUUCUCCAAAAAUGCCUGGAGCACGGAAACCUUUUAUCUUUCAUCCCUCGGGCAUCAAACCAUUUAUCUUUGGGGACAUCUCUAAUGAACCAUGUUUGCUAAUGUAUCUCUGAGGCGCCUUGUGUUUCUUUCCCAUCUGAUUUUGCUUUUGAUCUUUAUCUUCCAUCGCCGUAGUCCAUUUAUAUCUUUGAUUUAAAAAUGGAAGGAAGGCAACAAACUAGAGUCUCUGAUGUGCUAAACUCAAUAGUGACUUCGGUGAUAUAGGUUGCCGAGAAUGACCCUGGCGAUAGUUAUCAUGCAUGAUCCGGCUUCUCGCACGGCCUGUGCAUCCCUAUCCCGUACACCUUCUUCAGUAUGACUUCGAGGCAACAAAUUAGAGUCUUUGACAUGCUAAACUCCCACGUCGCGGAGAGCGAUUUUUGAACAAGUUUUCAUGUGUGCGCCAUUACGGUCUACACAUCCCUCUGUCCCAUGCUUUUUUUAUCGGGAAAACGCAAGAAGGGCUUGCAUUUCAUUGCUUUGGAAAGGAGGGAAGUCUCGGUUACAAUCCUCCUAGGAGAGAAUUACAGUGUCUGGGGGCAUAUCAGUGCACGUCCCAGGUUUGCGGCAAGAUGGCAUGAAGCCCUAGGGCGCCGACUUUGGCCUAGAGGGCGGCCUCAUCUUUGAUCUUCGUGAGCAGGUCGGACGUUGAGGGUUGACCUCUGUUGAAGACGCAAUCGUUGCGGUGCUUCCAUAUCAUCCAUGGGACGAGGAGGGUCACGGAGGCGAGGCCCUUGCGCAUGGGCAUUGGGGUGUCAUGUUGCGCCGUGCGCCACCAAUCAUUGAGGGAGAUCUCUCGGUCUGACGGGGUGCAGGGGAGUCUGAGCCAGUGCAGGAAGUCGUGCCAGGUCUGCCUGGCGAAUGGGCAGGCGAGGGUGAGGUGGUGCAUGGACUCGGGGGCCUGGUCGCAGAGGAGGCAUCGUGCGGGGUGCUGCAGGCCGCGGCUGGCGAGGUUGUCGGCUGUCCAGCACCGGUCCAGGUGGGCGAGCUAGUGGAAGAAACGGACGCGCAGGGGUGCCAGUUCUUCCAGGUGAGUUUCCAUGCGUCGCAGCCCAUGGAACUAUUGAAGGUGGCGAGGUAGGCCGAUUUGGCGGAGUAGACACCGCUUGUGUUCCACUUCCAGAUGAGGCGGUCUGGCUCGUCGGAGAGGGUCGUGGCGUUGAUGGCCUGCCAGAUCUGUAGGUAUUGUUCGAUCUCGUGUAUGCCAAUCGUGCCGUGUAUGUACCGUGCCCAUUGGUUGGCCUGGAGUCCAUUUGCAACGGUCCUGAGCUUGCGGCGACGCUUGGGAAUGCAGGCGUAGAGGAGCGGCACGAUCUCGCAAACAGAACGCCCGCCAAUCCAUCGAUCUUCCUAGAACAGGGCCUCCGUGCCGUUCCCGAGUUGCAUGGUGGUAGAUGCGAAGAAGAAGGCACGCUCCUCGGCGGUGAACUGCAGGUCGAGGCCGGCCCAUGCUCUGGUGCUGUCCGUAUGGCUGAACCACAACCAGCGGGUGCGGAGCGCGAGGCUGGUACGGCCAAGGUCGUGCACGCCGAGUUUGUCCCAUGCUUUUACCUUCUUUUACCCAAAUAUAUGAAAAAUUGUUUCAUUUGGGUCCCCCUUUUUAGGGACAUUCCUGCUUACAAGGCCUUUUCUUUAUAACAGUACUCCCUCCAUCCCAUAAUGUAAGACGUUUUUUGACACUACACUAGAGUCAAAAAAACGUCUUAGAUUAUGGGACGGAGGGAGUAAUAAUUAAAUAAGAAAAUUAUUCACCCUAAUUUUUUAAAUAAUUUUUAUUCACAUAUGCACUGGUGCCUUUGGGCCACCGAAGAACAACAAUCCAAUAUUCAAGUAUGUUGUACUAACUAAUGCAAUCAUAAAUAGUGUUAUCUUAAUCAAGAGAGGUGCUUUAACCUUAUAUCGGACAAAAGCAUUAUUAGAUGAUGUAUCUUAUUAUGGAACUAGUAUGGGAUCCUACUAUGCACAAAACGAUCCUCGAAGAACUCUGGAUGUACAUACUACCUAAUAGCUCAAUGUCUAACCCUUAGAAGGUAACUUAGGCUUUACUCCGUCUGUUUCAAAAUAUUGAAGUUCUAGGUUUGUCCUAAGUCAAACUUCUUUAAGUUUGACCAUGUAUAUACAAAAAUAGAUUGACAUCUACAACAUCAAAUAAACAUAGUAUGAACAUAUAUUUUAUGAUGAAUGUAAUGAGACUAAUUUUGUGUUGUAUAUGUUAUAUUUUUUGUCAGACUUGGUCAAACUUAAAGAUCUUUGACUUAGGACAAACUAGAACUCAAUUUUUUUUGGGAACGGAGGGUGUAGAAACUGUUUUUUGGGCUACCAAAAGGUUGAAUAUACCUUUGACUUAAUUAAUAUGGUUAACUGGAUAUAUGCCACUACAAUUUUGGUCAACUGAAAACGCCAUUACAAUUUUACACUUUGGGGAUAUGCCAAUACAAUUCGUCCACCCUGCUCUAUAUAGAGGAUGGAAUAAUUGUAAUGUCAUUUUUCCAAAGUGCAAAGCUGUAAUCGCAUUUUUACAAUUCACCAAAGUUGCCAUGGUAUAUAUCCAGUUAAUCCUUAUUAUUAUCCUCUAGAGUCUAUAGCACAAUGUACCACAGUACUACUCUUGAUUCACAUACAUAUUUUGGAUAAUCUGCUUGUUGGUUCCCAGAAUUAGAGGCAUCAGAGAACUAAAGGGGAAAUGAUAUCUCUUUUUCAACUUGAUCCAGAAACAAGAAAACAUGGUUAUUUUCAUCAAUGCAACAAUAGUAUAAUUUUGAUAACAUUUUAGGUUCAGUUCUUUUUGGCUGGAGCUUCUCCAGAAAUGAUUGUAAGAUGUGUUUCUUGGCUUGCUUCCUUCUCUUCCAUGAGCUUCCUCCCGAGUAUUGAUAUAACUUUGGGGCCUGGGGUGUGAAUAAUUUGUCCGUAGCAUAUAUCUUUGAUGAAACCAUGAGUUGGUUUUGAAAUCUUAUGGGUUUCAGCUCUAGCCUACCCCAACUUGUUUGGGACUAAAUGCUUAGUUGUUGUUGUUGUUGUUGUUGUUGUUGUUGUAUUCACAUUUGCUAAUGUAUGUCUGAGGUCUGAUGUGUUUCUUAUCUGUUUUGGUUUUCAUUUUGCCACACAUUCGUUUUAUUGCCGUAGUUGAUCUCUGUUUCUGCUGCAUUUAUCCCUGUAGCGACUUCAGCGCUGUAUGUUGCUGACAGCGAGCCCGGUUGAUAGUUAUCAGUUAUCAUGCAUGCGCCAUCUUUUCGUAUGGCCUCUGCAUUCCUAUCUCCGACACCUCCUGCAGUAUGAAUCUAAGAACUGCGAGGCAGCAAAUUAGAGUCUCAGAUGCGCUAAAUUCUGUAGCGCCUUCGGUGAGUCGAGAACAAGUUAUUGCCCUAUCUCAUAUCCCUUGGACCUUGUUUAUCCAAAACUAUUGGGACAUGGAAGAGCAACAAUCCAAUCUUCCUGUAUGGAACUAAUGGAGGGAUCAAUAGUGAUGCUUUAAGCUUGUGUCCUGCAAAAACAUUAUCUGACAACGUAUUUCAGUAUGGAAUCAGCAAAGAAAUUGGGAUGCAUACUACUAUACUAGUACAAGAAUUCAGGUCCAAUCCUUUGCAUAUCCAUGGCCGCGUUGCUGUCUGCAUGCAAACACUGGAAAUGAGCGACUGAUGAAAAUAAAUUUCUGCAUUGUUCUUUCCGUGUAAAAAGAUGAAGGAAACUUAUACCAUAGAAGCUAAUUUUGGGACUACCAAAUGGUUGAAUAUACCUGGGACUUUAGCAAUAUCUUCUAACUAUUGGCUCACAUACAUAUUGAGGAUCAUCCACCUGUUGCAAACUGCAAACAACUUUAAAGGUUGGUUCCCAGAAUUAGAUGCAUAAGAGAAUAUUAAAGGUGAAUUAUGAGCUCGACUUGAUCCAGAAACAAGAAAACACGGUUAUUUGCAUCAAUCCAACAGUAGUAUGAUUUCUCAAACAUUUUUGUGACAUAGUUUUCUUGAUCGAAAAAUGAGCAGAUAUGAAGUACUUAACACCUCUCAAAAGCUUCAGCUAUUGCAAGCCUUCUCAUCUGAGUUCUCGAGGCCUUGAAGAUCAAGCAGACAAGUGGUCUAGAGUAGAAAAACCAACCAGCAGUUCAGCUACCCUAACCCAGUAGUUAGACUGCCUUGCCUUGUCAUUUUGUUUCAGAUCUUUGCCGCAAUUGUAGGCUGCAGUCUGCAGAACUGUCAUCCUGUAGAUACCUGGUCAUCUUGUUUCCUACCUGAACCUCCAAUGGUCCUACUAUUCUCUCUUAAUUGAUUAAGCUGAACUCCUGUCACUAUUCUUAAUACAAAAAGGAAAAAGUAAUUAGUUGAUGUUGAUUAUUGAGACAACUGAGUUGCGAUGCAAAGUCACGCGAAGUAAGGAGUUUGAACUUCAAAAUUACAAUCUUGCCCAUAUGAGUUGUCUUACCUGAAUCAAACUUUCUAUUUUCAUUGCCUCCUUUUGAAGCCAAGAAUAUAUGCUCCAUCUUUUUGUAUGCUUAUAGACAUAGACUUCUUGCAUAUAUCUUUCUGAAAGUAACAGAAUAUAUGGGGAGAUAUUACUUUGUCCACUAACCAAGCAUCUCCCUCUUAGCAGUUAACUUCUAACCAGUUUGUUUGGUGGUCUAAUUAUUGGUGCUCCAUUAGUUUGUCUUCUUUUUUAUUUUCCACCUCCCAUAAAUUUCUUUGAUUUCCCAAAUGACAUCCUCCAGAUUUUUGUAUAUCCCAGGUAUUGGUAUUUUUUAUACCAAUUUCCCUCGAAGUAAAUACGAUAUCUGUAUUUGCUUGAGACAACAUGAAAUUGGAGUUUAAAUUCUUUUCUGUAGACAAUUCAUUCUUCCAGCCUACUGCUGGUAAUGGAUCAAUAAUGAUUAUUCUCCUAGGUUGGCAACCAGGACACCAGAGUGAAAGUGACAUUGGAAUUUAUGCUGGUUGGGGUGCAAAAGAAUGCACAACACUCCCGUUGAUGCACCAAGCUUCACGUUUUGGAGGGGCACCUCUUGCUCUUGGUGUCCUUAUUCGUGUAUUCCUGUACAAGUGUGAGUUACGUGCAAUAGCUUGUGGCCCUUUACAGAGUAGGAUGCCCCUUGGCGCUGUGACAAAAGCAAGGCCAGACUUGUUCUUGGCUCUGUAUGUUGUGGGGGUUCUCUGACUGUAGGGUCUACCGGUGGAGGUUGUCCCAUGGGCCAACUAAAGUUGGGUCCCUGGGAAGAUGGACCUCUCCUUGGGCCAUAAGGGGGGUUUCUUCCCUCCGAGGCCACCAAGGGAUCUUCUUGGAGGUGGUGGGUGAGUCUCUUCUAUCACCCCUCUGUGGGAAAUACCAGGGACCUAUUAGAGGCGUAAGGAGGUGACCUGCUGUGGAUCAUCCUCACCUCAUUAUUUGCAUAAGACUUCUUGAAAACAGUACAUCCUCAUGCAUGCAUGACCAUGUGAGGUUAUCAUCCUCGAACUCCUGAAGUGUGGAGAUGGUUUGACAAUGUAAAAAUGUUCUUUCGAUGUGUCCUCUCCAGGCUACUGUUACUAUGUCCUAACUGUUACCUUCUGUCUUAGAAAAAUGGCAAGUACAUGAACAAAGGUCCCCACUUUUCAUCUAACAAGGCAAUAUGAUCACACUAUGAGUGCCAGUUCUUGCUUGCUAACCGUUUUUAAAACUCUUGACCAUUAACAGUAGCCAUCCUGACAGUGACCUGAAAUAUCUGAUGACGUGUAUAUGAAGGUUAUUCGAUGUUGCGAGUGGUAGACAUCACGUACAUGUUCUCUUGAUUCACUCUUUUUUUUGUGAUGCAAAUAAUUGCCUGCAAUACUUGUAUACAGUCUGAUGGCAGCAACUCAAACAUUGAUAUGAGUAGUCUUCCUAACAUUAGGCAUGUCAUCAUAUUGCAGUUCACGACCCUACAAAUUCUUUACUUUUUACUUUUUUAUGAACAAAAAUGUAAGAGAGCGUAGCUUGGUAAUCUGAGUUAUGAGUCAUGAGUCAUCAGCUGCAACACUUUCCAACAAAUGGGAACGCAUCAAAUUGAGAAUUUGAUAGAACACAUCCAAAAGGUGUGAGACAGCUGACCCCCUCAUCAGCUGCAGCUAUUUCCAGUGACACUGUGUCAUGGUCAUGGGUCGGUGCCAUGAUUGUGUCUAGAGAAGUCAUCUAAUGUCAUCUGAUGACCGAGCAUAUCAUUUCCCUGUGAUCCAACACAAGGCACUAUCUUCUGGACAGCUGUUUAAGUAUGGGCAUAGUUGGUGAAGCUACCAAAAAUGUGUUGGGGUGAUAGUUCAGGAAUCAGUUCUGUCCCAAGCCUGUUUACCACAAAUUCAUCUCUUGAAAGUCUGAAUUGCCCUCAUGAUUAAGUUGUGGGGAGAUUACUAGCACCAGUUACACCGCCUCAUCACCUGUGGACCUCUCCCCCGUUGUGACAGUUUUAUCCAUCUAGUAUAUCAUAGUACAAAGUUUCAUGGCUAAGUAAACCAAGAGAAUAAUUAACUUACUGAAAACUGAAAUGCCUAGAGAUUAUGUAAGCUAAAGCAUACCAUACUUGAAAUUAUAUUUGUGAGUUAACCUCCAAUAUUUUUUUCCAGGUAAACGGCAAUGAUGAAAUGGGGAAACCAGCCUAUUUCAGCAUAACUUGGAAGACUGUUGUUGCAUGAAUAUUAUCACACUUUCAUCACGAGGAAUGAAAAAUGGGCCUUUAUGUGGCGCAUAAGUGUAUAUUUUCAAAAGGAAAACAGGUCGUUCCUUUCUAGCCACCAAAUAGAAUUCAUGUUUCUUUUUUGUUUCAUGUAGGGUAGUUUGCUCUCAAAAUAGGAGAAUAAGGUGAGUUGCCUCCCACACAUUCUCAACAGAGAGGUUGCAGAAAUGCUAGGAUGCUGUGCUGAAUGUACUUUUUUUUUGUUAGAUAGAUUUCUUUCCUUUCCUUUUCCAGGUUCGUAAUAAAAUGUAACAUUUAAAGUUGGAAAUAUGUUCUCUAUUGUGCAUAUGUUGCAACUCUGCUUGGCCAUGCUUCAUCCGUUGAUUAUUUGCAUCAAAUUGAUGAACCAAUUGAUAUCCUUGAAGGUGUACACAAGUUUGUACGCCUAGCAUCCCUGUUCAGAAAAUGAAGUAGAGAUUUAUGUCGUAUUGCUUGAACUGUCUGCACCAUCAUAAUUUGCAUUGCACAUGCUGCUCUUGUACUGGAGGAUCUUUUUAAUCGUUUCUUCCAUUUCUAUUUUUCUAUGAUUGCUAGUACCUUGGGACUUGUGAUGCGCUACUGAAAUCAAGGACACGCACGUAUGGCAGUAUGUGCCUUGCUGCUGAACUGUUAAUAAUGCAACAAACACCUGAAGGUGGCGAUCAUUAGCAAACCAGCAUGUGCAAGGGCAGUCAAGGUUCUAAAUUUCUAGUGUAUGGUUUAAAUGUCCUGGAUUUUUGGAAGUUCUUGCGAGUGAUACUAUUAUAGUUUCAGCAUUAUUAAAUAUCAUGAUGUCAAGCGAAACUGAUCUUCUUUGCGCACGAAGCUCUAUGCUAAGUGUGAAUGACCCUAUAGCAUUGCGUGAACUUGAUCAUCAUGCCCUUCCAGUCUUUGUUUUCUAAUUGUUUUGCUCUCACCAUAUAUACAUUGCAUGAACUGGAUUUUUAAAGAGAGAGACAGAGAGCAUCCAUGAAUUGUUGAGCAUAUUUUUUUCUUGGAUUUUGUUUGGUAAUGGGGCCCUUAGGAGUCCAUCAACCCAGGGUUCAAAAUCUGCGUUCAUGAGGGGUUACAAAAAUAUCUUUGCAAAGAAGAAUGUUAGGCCUUGUUUGAAUUGAGUUUAAUUUCUGUGUGCUCCCCGUCAUUUAGCUACCUUAUCUAUUUUUCUUGGUUGGGUGAGUGGAGAAGCAACACACUUUUUUAAUAAUGCGAGGAGCAACACAAUUUUUUACUACUACCUCCGUCUCGGUGAAUAAGUCAUUCACGUAGUUCUAGGUCGACAAUUUAACUAUCUAAAUAUGUAUUAUACGUGAUAAAAAAUAUAUAUUUAGAAACUAUAUCCGUGUAGAAAUCUUGUGAUAUAUUUUUCAUGACAUAUACCACAUAUUUAAUGCCUUAAAUUGAUGACCUAGAACUACGUGAAUGACUUAUUCACCUGGACGGAGGUAGUACUAGUAGUGUCUCAUAUUUGGUCAACCUCACAGCCUUGCCAUAGGGUUCCUUGACUUAGUUGCACUUGACAAAUUAAUUAUGUGGGUUCUUCCAUCAACACGUGUGCACUGCGAAGCAAUAGUAAAACCAUUUUAAUGCAAGAUGGGGGUAACACACAAGCAACCAUGUGUGCUCAAUUUGGCAAUUAAACAUGGCCUAAUUAUUGGCAUUUAUUUCUGAUGUCCUAAAUUACUAGUUGCUGGAUGGGACGAUAUGAAUGGUGGCGCACGACGAUGACGGCGACCUUCCUGGAAGCAAGGAAUCCCAGUAGGCACUAGGCAGUUAGUUGUCCAGUGAGUGGCAAGGAGUCCCAUUGGAACUCUCCUUGGUUAGGUGAGAAGUCGUCUCUAUAUUUGGAUGUUAAUAAAUAAAUAUGCAUGCAGUGGGCUGCUGUUUGUUGCAUGCCUGACAAGCAACUAUCAGACGCUUCUAAGUGAGGAAAAGGCUACCUAAAUCAAGUUUGGUCGGCGGCUCAGCUGUUCUCCAGUUGAAUUUCUGUUGAAUGAAGCUAAUUGUUGCCGUGGAAUGAACUGGUUUUGAAAGUUCUAUAUUUCUAGUGCAUGGGUGAAGGGAACUGGUUUUUUGAAAGUUCUUGCUAACAGAACUACUCCCUCCGUUCGGAAAUAAGUGUCGUGGUUUGAGUUCAAAUUUGAACUACAACCAUGUUAUUUCCGAACGAGGGAGUACUUUAGUUUUAGCAUUAUUAAAUUUAAUGUCAGGUGAAACUGGCCCUCUUUCCAUGCAGAGCUAUAUUGGUAAGUGUGGCAUUGGAUGAACUUGAUCCUGAUGCCCUGCCAGUCUUUGCUUUCUAUUUUUCUUUUUGCUCUCACCAUAUGCAUUGCAUGAACCUGAUUUUUAGAUAUAUAUAUAUAAUAUAAAGAGAGAGAGAGAGAGAGAGAGAGAGAGAGAGAGAGAGAGCAUCCGUGAAUUGUUGAGCAUAUAUUAUUUAUUGAAUUUUGUUUGGUAAAGGGGGCCUCAGGAGUCCAUCAAAGCUAUCCUGGGUUCAGAAUUUGUGUUCACCAGAGAUAACAAAAAUAUCUUUGCAAAAGAAGAGUUAGUCCCUGCUUGGAUCGAGUGCAAUUUUUGUGUGCUACCUUGUAUAGUACUCCCUCCGUCCCAUAAUACAAACGUUUUUUGACACUACGCUAGUAUCAAAAAACAUCUUACAUUUUGGGACGGAGGGAGCAUUUUCUUGGUUGGGUGAUAGGGGAAGCAACACAUGUUUUUUCAGUUUCUUAUAGUUGGUCAACCGCACAGCCUCACCAUAGAGUUCCUUGACCUUAUUGCACUAGAAAAAAAUAUAAUUAUGUGGGUUCUAUGAUCAACACAUGCACAUCAAUUGAAAAAAAAACUAUUUUAAUGCAAGAUGAGGGUAGCAACAGCCAAGAACACAAGCAACCAUGUGUGUUUAAUUCGGCAACUAACCAUGGCCUAUUUUUGUGUGAUAUUUAUUUCUGAUGGCCUGAAUUACUAGUUGCUGGAUGGAGCGCCGAUGUGGAUGGUGGCGCACCACGACGAACGGCGAUGUUCCAGUAGGCAGUCAGUUGCAAGGAGUCCCGUUCGGACUCUACAUGAUUAGGUGAGAAGUCAUCCCUACAUUUGGAUGUUAAUUAAUAAAUGUGCAUGCCACUGCUGUUAUGAAAACUAGAUGAUACCCCGCGCGUUGCUGCGGGAAGUGUAGUGCGAAAAAUUUGAUGGAUUAGACAAAUGAAUUAUAAAUAAUUUGGAUAUACUUGUUAACCAUAUGGUCUCUUGACUAAAGUAAAACAAUUUGAUUAGAUUGAAUUGAACAAUGCACGACCGGAUAGAAAAAUAGAAAUAUUUCCUCUUUUCCUUCUAAUAAUGUAUAUUUAAAAACACAAAAUGCAAAGCAAAUAAUGUAAUUGCUUAGUAAGGAACCUUCAUUGUUCUGAUCUUCAAACUAAGGAAGCAUACGAAAUGUAGUAUGUGAGACAAAAGAAUAGUUCACAAAGAUGGAGCACACAUCAAUGGUCGUCCUGAAUCCUUCACUUCGCUAACCAACUAACCUGCACACUCAUGUAUUGUACUGAGAACCACCUGAGAAUCACACCACGGAAUAAAUUACUCAAAUCAGCAAAAGUAUGACAAAAAACACACAACUAAAGGAAGAUCUUAUUAUCACGUGAGUAUGAUGACAUGGCUAGCAAGAUGUCCUCAUUUGUGUAUGCCUAUCAAAAUCUCUGUAAAUAGAUAACAUAUCGAAUAAUAAUUUGAUCGAGACAUGCUACCUCUUGGAACAUAGCAAACAACCAAAAUGUAUCUCGGCAUGCUGGGAGAAGGUUAUAACUUUUUAUCUCAUCCAAGUACACAAAUAUAGAUUACUAUCCUUGCUAAAGAAGAAGAUAAGAUAAGAAUGUAGAUCACUAAAAAUAUAGAUGUACAGUUACGUAGUAGAGUUCAGAAAAUGAUGUGACAUAUUCCAACAUAUCAAUUUAGGCACAUGAAUCAUAUGGUAUGUUCCCACAAUGGCGACAUAACUUGUGCCCUCGGGAGUAGGUAAUUUCACGCUUAUGCUGGUAAAAUGUUUUCAAUAAUUAAAAGUCAUUUCAGGUUAACACAUUUUCUUAAGUUUAGUUACAUUGCAUGAUAUCAAGAUGGAUUAUACACCAAACUGAUUCGGUUCAGCAACUUAAGCUUGAAUUUGUCAAACUUAAGCUAAAGAAGAAGAUAAGGAAGCAUACUGAAUUAUGUAGACUUUGAUCUGGCCUCUCAAGCUCCAAAACAACGGCACCCGUAUAUGGCUGACCCAGCCACCACUCUCUGUCAGAUUCAGCCAUCACGCAGUAUCAAUGAUGGGCAUAACUGAAACAGUGUCCGACUAUAAUUGUUGAACAAUACAGAAGGAGAUGCAUAUACAUGGAAGCUAUUUCAAUUAUACAGAGAUGUAUACAUUCAGCAUACAACUAUGUUCCCAAAUAAAAUGUGUGUUGAAUGAAAAAGAAGAUUAUGGACGUUAUACCAUCAAAGAAGAUCUGUGCAAGGUAAUUUCUUUAGAUGUCUUCUUUAGCGAUGCACAAAUAAUACAAUCUCUGCAAUAACUAAUGCAAUCCUGCUAAAGAAAUGUAGGUACAGGAGUUACCUUCAGUGGAUGGUAGCAUUGAUCGUCUUCUUCAAAGGGAUCUAGUAACAUGAUUGUAGCAAUCUGCUAGAGCAAAUCAAAACAGUAUAGUGAAUCUGCAACUUGGAAGUUAUUUUUUUGGGAUCUCGGGUGUACCUUGAUAUACUCUUGACUGGCAGUAUCUCUUCUCGUCAGCAUAUCGUGGUGAAGUUGUCUUAGAAAACCUUUACACAACAGCUUUCCUCCCAACCAGGCCAAGGCUACCGCCGGUUGCUGGUGCUGCUGGCUGCAGGGCGUGGUGAUCGAUUUAGUGGAUGGAGAUGGUAGGACGGGGGAGAGAAGGCCACGGAUUCUGUAGCCAAGGAGAAGAGGACGGAUCUGAUGGCACGGGUAAGCGAAGCGGUGGAUGUGCAAGGGCUGGGGCGGGAGGUUGGGAAGGGUAUUAAUGGUGAGAAGACAUGGUAGGUCAGGGGAGAGGAGGAGCCAAAUUAAGGUAUCGAUGCAUUGUCUCCAUUAAUGGACAUUAGAGAAGGUGAAGAGGAAGAGGAGCAGCCGUGUAGAAGAAAGGACGCAGAGGAGGCGCUACAGAAGGAAGUGGUACCAUCAUGCGGGGAACCCUGAUGGAUACGGUCUGCCAACGUCCAACCCAGCCCAUUCGAACUCUUUGCUGAGAAAUCGCUUCGUACAGCCGCCACAAGUCCAGCCGAAGAAAAAUUGAAUAUAUUUAUUCAGACCUGAGGAGGUGGGCCUAAGUGGGACUGCAUGAGGUGUGACGUGGCUAGAUGUGAAUGGAUGAUGACGUGUCUAUGCUGCAUGUUGAGAUAAAUCAAGUAGUGGGGGUGAACUUCUUAAGUAUAUAGGAUGACGCAAGCUGCUAUCAGGCGCUUCUAAGUGAGGAAAAAGCCACCUAAAUUAUGUCUGGUCGGCGGAGCCGACGUUCUCCGGUUGAAUUUCUGUUGAGUGACACUGGUUGUUGCUGUGUCCAGGCUUUGCCAAACUAGGAAACUAGGAAAUACCUUGACGUAUCAGAGAGAUGGAAAACAACAUCCACCAGUGCACCACUGACACGCAUUGGCCCUGGCUGUAUCCCACAUACCAUUUUUCACCAGCAUUAUGUUUGUACCUUCUCUUUUUGUGUGUGUUGGUACUCUAAAUCUCAUCAAAAUUGCAAUCUGGUAGGUAUGAUCUUCACCAGUUAGCCAGUUUAGUCACUGCAUUGUGAGCACCUGGAGGCUUCUCUCUAAUAUUGCUUUAAAGCACUGUAGCUUAACAGCCGCCCCUUGCAAUUACAUGCACUCCAUCUGCUUAAUAAUGCAGACAGAGAGAGACAGGAGCGCUCAAUGGAAUCAACUGGUGGUAGUUAGUUAGUGUUCCACUAAUGACAUUGCAAACAAGACUUGUCUUCCUAAGCAUUUUUUGUGAUUCCUAGCUCAGAUGAGCAAGAGAAGGUAUCAUUUGCCUCCUUUCUUGCAAGAAUUUGUUAAGAAUGCAAAAGGGUAAAAGGUUUACGGAAAGGCUUGGGGGUGCAAGGAUCCCAUCAAGGGCGGGAAAGUGCAUUUUUACAAUCUGAUGGCGACGCUUUAAUCCUCCCUUCUGAAGCAAGGCAAUUGCUGCUUUACCAGACUGUCAAAUGGAGGCUAGCUAACUGCAUUAAGCAAAUGGCAGUCACAUCACAUCCAUCAGAUGCCUGGAAGCUUCAAGCUCUCAAAAAGGGCUGGUUAAUUGUGCCAAUUAGCGCUAAACAACACGCAACCACCUUCAUCGUCGAGCCGGGAGAAACCCCCUCCGUGUUCCGAACGGGGCCUAACCUUUUCACAUUCAGAAAGAUCGCCGAGAAAAGGUAAUUUUUAUGCCCUUAGCUACACAAUAAUGUGAAAGUCCCCCUCUGUAAAUCCUGGCUUGGACUUUACAUCCAGGCAUCCAGCCAGUCAGCACAUUCUCAUUGGCUGUGGAGGGAGAACAGUCAGUCCCUGUUGGCUUGCUGUUCCAGGAAAAACCGUAUCCCUGCCUUUCACCUUCCAUGAAUGCACAUUGCAAGCAUUCCCAUGGCAAUGCAACAGCCUGCUUUUGACAACUUUGAUUGCUCCCCCUAGAACAUUACAAAACCCUGGCCUUCACUACAGAUACAGUGACCAUGACAGGCUCUUUCACCGUCCAUUGUGGCAAUAAUGCCCGCCUUUUUUGCAUCUCGUUUUCUUGGCACGGCGUGUGAAAACAUUAUACUCCCUCCGUCCCACAAUAUAAGUUCAUUUUUCAAGCUAUAACGAUCUUAUAUUGUGGGAAGGAGGGAGUACUACUAGUGUGAAAAAAAAUGAGGGUAAGAACUAGCAAUGUGCAUAAGUGGAGAGGUGUAGGGCUGCUUUACAGAACAAGGGCAGUGUUCGUUCGUGUGUGUGUGUGUGUGUGUGUGUGUGUGUGUGUGGGUGCACCUAGCAACAAAAGCGAAGAGGAAAUGUGUGUGACUGUGUUCAAUUAUUUGGUUUUAUCUUUUCCAUUUGCAGAAAAGGUAUUCCAAGAACAACAUUAAAGCCGGGCUGCCACGCAUAUUUCCCUGUGGUUGAUGGCUACCUCCAACAAUGGAAAUGGAAGGGAAGGCAGACAAGUGUAAUCAGAUUCUCGCCAAUUGUCUAUGCAAUUCUCAGGUAAGAAAAGAACCAGAUGGUCCAAGAUUUCGAAUUUUCAAUACUCAGCGCUUUAUGCUCUUCGAGGAAAUGUCCUCGAAAAUUCAUGGCAAUUCGGCAUCCGGUCCGGCUACACGUUAGAACUGAAGACGAUGCUUGUUUAGCAAAAGCAUGGUUCAUAAUCAUACCAGGUUCUUCAAGAACUUGUUUCAUGGACAGUUCAUGUUCCAAUGCCAACCUUAAGAAAAGAAAAAAAAUGAAAUCUGGGAUCUGUGGCAAUCCACCCGAUGUUGACCCGCACGCGUUCGGCGAUGUGAUUCUACUGAAAUACCUGAUCCAAGAAACACAUUUCCACUUGCAUUUGCAUCCUGCACAGAUUUAUAAAAAAUGCUAGUAAAUCAAUUUCUUCCAGUUAGCAAUGACUGAAUCUGAUCUGGGGCUCCAUGCACCUUGCACUGUGCAACUACUGAUGGAGCAAUGUGGCUGAACAUGAGCACAGCAGCCUUUGUCCCACCGACCACAUGGGCUUAAGGAACACAGAAAGCAGGUUAGUGCAUGCAUUAGCCCAUAUGCAGCUGCUCAUAACCACUAUUCAAUUGAGCACAAGUACAAACCCGCCGAGGUUAGUUUAAGAGGGGCAGAUCCUUAGUCUUGGUUUCUGCAAGAAGGAAUCAAAAGAACACUUGUUUAAUUUCUGUGCGCGAUAGAUCGUGUUUGUGAUGCCCACCAUGCUUUUGAUAAGAUCCGAAUUACAUAUCAACUGUUAAGAAAUUCUCAUCUUUGGUGUGAAAUAGUCUUUGGCCGCAUUUAGCGUGCUUCGAAUGAUAAAAUUCCGCUCUUUAUUCUCUGGAGAAUUGUUUAGUGUGGCCUUUGUUCCAAUAUGGUCCUGCUUUUUAUUCACCUUAAGAUCUGAAUUAUACAUCUCAACUGUUACGAAAUUCUCUUCUUUGAUGUGAAAUAGUCUUUGGCCACAUUUAGCGUGUUUCAAAUGAUAAAAUUCUGUUCUUUAUUCUCUGGAGAAUUAUUUAGGGUGGCCUUUGUUCCAAUAUAGUUAUGCUUUUCAGUCUCCUUUUAUAUUUAGUAAAGUGUUUAUUCUGUCUAACCUUUGCAUCUCCCAUAAAGGAUAUUUCUGGUCUUGUUUAUGGUUAAGGACUACUCACUUUGUGUGAGAGAGUUUAUUGGCUAAUAUAUAAAGCUGCAAACCUGCCAUACAUCAAAACAUUAAUCUGAAAUUCCAUAACCUCUAAUUAAGGCACUAAUUGAUUGUAGCUUAUGGAGCCUUGUCAAGUUCCAAGGAACAUUAUGUCUCAUCUAACCACAUGCACAGGCUGCUGUCUCACUAAUUCCAUGUAUAAUGCAUGAACCAACCUUUGGACUCAGGUGACACUAUGAUCCAAAAGCCACAAUCAAUGGCAAACAAGAUCCCUUUUCCUCUUAUCAUUUUUUCUUCUCUUUCCUCCUGUUAGAUCUUCAUGUUCACAAAUUAUCAAGAGGUGACAGAUGUGCACCAGCAGAACAACCUCACUAUAAUAAAGAUACAUUGGAGAAAAAUAUGUACUUUCUCUCUUCUCCACACACACACACACACACACACACAUACCAAAAAGUAAAGAACACCUUGGACACAACAGCUCAUGUUAAAAGUACAACUAAGUACUCUAGCUCUGUUGAGUGCCUCAAGAUUCUUGAGAGGCGCCACCAAGAAAACCAAGGUCCAUGGCACUUUUUCCCUCGAGGUGCAUUGCCCGAUAUGCAUUGUGUUUCUCUUUUCUGCUGAGUUUUCGUGCUGCAAGCGACGUCUGCUUUUUAAAGCUGUAAUGUGCAAAUUAUGUAUGUGCACAUCAUGCAGCCAGAUCAGGCAGAAGGAUGGCCUGGGUGAUUCACUUGACCGACGAGAAGGAAAUUUGGCGGUUGUGUGAUUUAAAAAUUUGCACUGUCGAUUCAAAGCAAUCAUGCUCAUAUAGUCAUAUAUACAUCAGGAUGUGGCUCUAGUUGCAUUUUUUUGUCUGGUCUGGAGCAACUGAGCAAGCAACCCCUCAAUGCAUACACACCUGGAGCAUCAGGUUGCUUCCACUGAUGAUGACUCCCAAAACACUCAAACAUGUAAAAUGUUUUCUUGUGCCUAGGGAAAUCUCCGACGACGAUCGUCGCCCGCCUCCCGGGACCGGAGCACUGGAGCGGCUGGCCGGAGACGGAGAAUAUUCCGGGUUGUUCUCGCCUAGUAUUCUCUUGCUCUCUGGAAUUGUGAAUGGAGAGGAAGAAACUAGAAAGGUGGUGGCUGGGUGAGGAGGGGGAAGUGAGUGACCACCAUGGCCGUCCUUGAUUCCCUGCCAUUUGCAGCAUGGAUGGCCUCUGCAAAUCUCCACUGUGUGGGAGGGCCGGCUCUACUCUACUCCACUCCACUCCAUGAAUGCAGCUAAGCUACCUCCAGGCCCAGUGCACCAAAUUGCACACCUCUUGCAGCCAGUGGUCCUCCAUUGGCACCCCAUAUAUAUGUGUGCAAGCAUGUGUGUGUGCACUGGUACAAGUGCCAACCAAGUUACACAAGGGCUGCAAGACCAAGAUGCAGAUCACAUCCUGUGGUGGCAGCUGCUGAUCCUGCCACUCCUGUUAGGAUCAUGCAUGCAUGCAUGAGAUUCAUGUGUGUGUGAUAGCUAGCAGAAGGAUCAUCAUCAAUCAGGCUGCUGCCGCUGCAGCAUCUGCAUGUGGUUUGGUGGGUAGGUACCAGUACCAGUACCAUACCAUACCCAAGAAGAUAUCAUGUGAGCUGGAGCCACAUGAAAAAUGGAGGAAGAGAAAGGAGAAUGGGUUUGAGGUGAAAUAUCAUCAGUGAGUGAGCUAGCUAGCUAUGCUAUGAGAGGCUACUGGUAGUGGUAGUGCUGCUGCCAUUAGUUUUGCAGAGAUGGAGAUGCAGUAGUAGUAGUAGUACAUGCAUGCACUGUGCCUGUGUACAACAGAGUUGGUCCAUGCAUGCAUGACAAGCAGGAAAAAGUGCCCCUGUGGUACAAUCAGAAUUCUCAGGAAUCAAUAGUGGAGGGGGAGCAUAGAGGGUAAAUUGGAGAAUCUCUUUCUGUGUGCAUGCACAACCGUCCACCUAUUGGUGCUGUGUACUGAGAAAAAUUAUGAGAAAUAUAUCAAAACUGGCGAAUGAAAAAAAAGAAAGAUCUGGGCCAGUUGUUUUUAUUCCAUUCUCAAUAUAUUCCAGUCACAAAAGACCGGCUGCUAUCACUCUCUGGUUAUUCCCUCCCCACUCUACCUUGCGGGUGGAAUAUCAUGAGGAUUUUCUGAACAUUGUGCAUGCAUUGAUUGGCAUCGCAUGAAUGUACUGUGCAGUAGCUGUGAAAUGUGAAUCUAGUUUUUUUUUUUUUUUGAAAUGAAAUGAAAAUGUGAAACUAGUUUAAGCCAGGCAUGCAGAGCAAGAUAGUAACUAGUGGGAUUAUUUACCAGAGCACAUCACAAUUCAAAGACAGAAGAAAAGAAGCUGCUCCAAGGUAGCAGAAAUAAGACAUUAUUCAUGGCAGUAAAAGGCACUUUAGCGGAGCACAUCACAAUUCAGAGCCAGAGAAGGAAAAACACACAAAUAAGAGAAAUACAUUCAUGGCAGUAAAAAAGGAAAUCAUGAGAUGAUGAGUAAGUAAGUAGAGUAAUUAUAUAUGGCACUUGCUUUGUCUGAACAACAGCACAGGGAGAGAGAGCUUACUGCUUCUUCCUUCUUACAUAGGGGAUCACAUGAUCGAUGGUGAUGCAUGCAUGCUAAGCUUAAGAACCAUCAUCACUUGGUACACACACCAGUUCAGAUUACACAUGAUAAUUAUAAACUAAUUAACCCCAGCAGCUAGCUUAGUUGGGUGCGGUAAAAACUCCACUGCUCUCCGAGUUUGUAGUAGUUAAUUAACCUGAAACACCAGAAGCAUCAGGUAAAAAAGAUGAUCUCUUUUGCUGCGCUCGCUCUUGUGCUGCUGCCACGGCCGUGGCGUGGGUGCUAG